CUCUCUCCAAUGGUAGAAUUAGGCUUCUUUGUUACCUCAGCAACAGAGAACUUUUACGCACAAUCAUUCCGCUGACCGACGACUUUUUCUACUCUCGCUCUGCUUCGUUUCUUUGGGAAAACAUCUAAGAUCAAAUUAAAACUGUUUUCAGCACCUCUUCUGUCAGUAUUUGAACACAUUGAUGAGUAUUUCCCAAGAGAAAAGGCUGAUUUCUCCUGGAAGAAUGAGAAAUAUUGAGGAACUGAAGGAUGUGUUUAUGUUUUACGAAGAAUUAGCAGAGGCACAAGAUGAGGCAUAGAAAGUGACCUGAUAUUCUUAUCUGGAAAGCCUGGAAGAGGGUGUCCAUCGAUACAGAAAUCAUCCAACAGAGAUGAACUCUAAACUUAUGAACUCUCAUAGAACUCUACGAUCCAUCAACUUCAAGAGCGAACUCCUACAUACCUGUAUAAUCAUUUAAUUUUUCCAGUCUAUGCUUUGUCUUUAAAAAUAUUUGUAAAGCUCCUUGAUGACAGAAACCGAAACUCUUCUGUGAACAUCAGGACAUUUGUGUUCUUGACAGAUUUGGCAAUUUCCCAUCUUCCCCUCCUGGGGUCUUUCACUUGCUUCCUUUUCCUUUUCCUCUCUUUCUCAUAGUUAGGCAAUCUGAGACUCCACCCCACUGUGCUAAUCCCACCUGCUGGGGACAAGUACUUGUUGACUUAAUGGGUGCCAAAGUGCCAGUGGGUACAAGCUUUUCCCGCCCAAAGGAAUGCUUUCAAGGACCGUGGAGCUCCCCGUGCUCAAAGGAGACAAAUGUUUUUGUGUUAGGAUAGGCAAACCCAAGUCCAGAGAAGGAAAUAUUCUGGAAAAGAGUUUCCAGAAACAUAAAACCUAAGAGCAGUGAGCAAUCAAACCUGCAUUAGGAGAGAAGCAUCGUCCAAGUUACAUUACAGAAGUGUGAGUACGUUCAGGAUGUUGGAAGGUGGAAAGUACCAGGUGGACGAGUCAAAUCCAGGGCAAAAUCUGACAAGAUGGAUGUUCAGAGAAUCCAAUUAUGAAUGCUCCAGUUCCUAGAAAUUUGACUUGCUUUAGGUAGAGCUGGCUGAUGUAUGAAGCCAGCUGGAUUCUAGGUACCCCAAGAUCACUAUUUUAUUCUAUACAUUGUUUCAGAUCAUGUGAAUUUCUCUACACUGAGGACUAUCCUCAAUCAUAUAACACAGCAGGCCAAUUUGUCUCAGUAAUUGUUUAGAAAGAAAGAGAGUGAGCGAGUGAGCGAGCGAGCGAGAGAGAGAGAGAGUUGAUAGAUAAUAGAUAGAUACAAGGAGACAGAGAGGAAGAGAGAUUUUUGAACAGAGAACACUUCCCCUACCCCAAAGUGAAUCUCCUAUGGAACAGGAAAAUGCAACACAUACAGUAGAGCUGUAGAGCUGUAGAGGGUUUUUUUUUUGUUUUUUUUCCAAAAAGGACAUAUUAGGGACACCUGGGUGGCUCAGUCGUUUAAGUGACUGACCCUUGAUUUUGGCUCAGGUCAUGAUCUCACGGUUCAUGAGAUCGAGCCUCGCGUCGGGCUCUGCUGACAGCGUGGAGCCUGCUUGGAAAUCUCCCUCCCCCCGCCC